rnacentral:rRNA from 1 species
GGGGAAUAUUGCACAAUGGGGGAAACCCUGAUGCAGCAACGCCGCGUGAAGGAAGACGGUUUUCGGAUUGUAAACUUCUGUUCUUAGUGAAGAAUAAUGACGGUAGCUAAGGAGCAAGCCACGGCUAACUACGUGCCAGCAGCCGCGGUAAUACGUAGGGUGCAAGCGUUAUCCGGAAUUAUUGGGCGUAAAGGGCUCGUAGGCGGUUCGUCGCGUCCGGUGUGAAAGUCCAUCGCUUAACGGUGGAUCUGCGCCGGGUACGGGCGGGCUGGAGUGCGGUAGGGGAGACUGGAAUUCCCGGUGUAACGGUGGAAUGUGUAGAUAUCGGGAAGAACACCAAUGGCGAAGGCAGGUCUCUGGGCCGUUACUGACGCUGAGGAGCGAAAGCGUGGGGAGCGAACAGGAUUAGAUACCCUGGUAGUCCACGCCGUAAACGGUGGAUGCUGGAUGUGGGGCCCGUUCCACGGGUUCCGUGUCGGAGCUAACGCGUUAAGCAUCCCGCCUGGGGAGUACGGCCGCAAGGCUAAAACUCAAAGAAAUUGACGGGGGCCCGCACAAGCGGCGGAGCAUGCGGAUUAAUUCGAUGCAACGCGAAGAACCUUACCUGGGCUUGACAUGUUCCCGACAGCCGUAGAGAUAUGGCCUCCCUUCGGGGCGGGUUCACAGGUGGUGCAUGGUCGUCGUCAGCUCGUGUCGUGAGAUGUUGGGUUAAGUCCCGCAACGAGCGCAACCCUCGCCCUGUGUUGCCAGCACGUCAUGGUGGGAACUCACGGGGGACCGCCGGGGUCAACUCGGAGGAAGGUGGGGAUGACGUCAGAUCAUCAUGCCCCUUACGUCCAGGGCUUCACGCAUGCUACAAUGGCCGGUACAACGGGAUGCGACACGGCGACGUGGAGCGGAUCCCUGAAAACCGGUCUCAGUUCGGAUUGGAGUCUGCAACCCGACUCCAUGAAGGCGGAGUCGCUAGUAAUCGCGGAUCAGCAACGCCGCGGUGAAUGCGUUCCCG